AUGGAAGAAGUGUCUUUUCUCCCUGCGAGUCAGGUGUCCGCCGAGCAGCGUGACCGGCAGUGGCCGCUAGAGGCCGCCCGACACUCACCGCCCCGCUGGGCUCAGCCCUGGAUCCUUCCAGAGCCUUCUUUAAUCCCGCCCGACACGGUCACUUUCCUGGCAUCGCCCAGCUCCCAAGGUAAAGUUUGCCUCCUGGCUGACGCCCGACUGGCCUCGCUGUCUAGGUGUAAAGGCUACACCGUGAUGAAAGCCGGGGAGCAAGCUUGUCUGACCUGGAGACCGAGCUGGUUCUUCUGUAACUUCUGGGCUGUUCCUGAAAACAAACGCAGCCCCUGUAGCAGACGGUUCUCCCAGGUGGGCUCGGCCUCCAGCUCCCCGUGCGCUAGGCUUCCACGGAGGCUGACGACGGGGUCUGGCUCAUUGACCACCCACCAUCCUGGCCGGUUUUUAAACCCCAUCCCGUCAUCCCCCACAGACCCUGGCACUGGAGCUCAAGUUCAUCUCCCAAACUGCCUGAGCAGGCAGAGCGGCCUAGAAAUCCUGUCCUGCUUGGCUUUUGGCGUGGAGAGUUUCUGUUCCCGUCAUUGGAGGAAAUGCAGUGUGCUCGCCCUGAGGAAGAGCAGUGACAGGGACAGCCCCUGCCCCUGCCCUGGCCCCGCUGUGCCCACCGCUCCUCUCCCUGCCCCACGGCCACAAAGAAGGAGCUGUGGAGGCAGGGGCGGGGUGGGCAUGCCUUCUGCCUGCGGAGGGGGCAGGAUUUCCUGGGAGGAGGGGGCGGCCCGGCCACUUCCCCUCUGCCCGUGCCCACGGGUCAGACCAGUAUACAUGGGCACAUGGCAGCAAGAUCCACCAAGACUCUGCCCCCACCUGGAAGGGAGGACUUGGGCCCUCGGUAGAGACCAGCCUCCAUCAGGUAGUCAGAAGAACCUCGAGCACUCUGCACACGUCCGUCUCCCAGAACCUUCUGCCUCCUCUCCUCCCCUCCCCACCAUCUCCAGCUUCCUUAUAGCGGCUGCCCCCAAGCUGGCUACUGGAGUCCUGCUGUUCCCUAAGCAGCGUUUCCUGAAGUGGGUUGGAGCCAACCACACGUCUCAUUGCAACUGA
rnacentral:lncRNA from 1 species